AUGGCGUCAGGGUGAUGGCGGCGGGGACGGACCUGAGUGGAGGGUUGGAGCCGGUGGCUGUGGCGCUAUGGCCACCCUCGGAGGCCCCGCCGGCAUUUCAGUACAGCCCAGACAACGUAGCUGGAGCAGAUGGAGACAUUGAUCCCACUGAAAUCACCUUUCCAGGAUGUUCCUGUCAUACCAGCUCCUGUGUGGUUCAUGUGUGCUCUUGCCUUUGCCGUGGUGCAAAUUACAACAGUUUAUGCCUGAGGCCUACAGAGGAAGAGGAGGAGUACGCCAGGCCUGUUUUUGAAUGCAAUGCCAUGUGCCACUGUGGUGAAUCCUGUUCAAACAGGGUUGUUCAGAGGGGUUUGCAGUUCAGACUUGAGGUGUUCAAGACUGAAAAGAAAGGGUGGGGUCUCCGUACGCUGGACUUCAUAGCUAAAGGAAGAUUUGUCUGUGAAUAUGCUGGUGAAGUUUUAGGCUUUAAUGAGGCAUGUAGAAGAAUUCAGGCCCAGACAUCAAAGGAUUCAAACUAUAUUAUAGCAGUAAGGGAGCACCUCCAUAACGGUGAGAUAAUGGAGACCUUUGUUGACCCUAGGUACAUAGGUAAUGUAGGCAGAUUCCUGAAUCAUUCUUGUGAACCCAAUUUAUUUAUGGUGCCAGUUCGAGUCGACUCAAUGGUGCCUAGACUGGCACUUUUUGCAGCUACAGACAUUUCUGCUGGAGAAGAACUUUCAUUUGAUUAUUCUGGAAGAGUCUAUAAUUUACCAGUAACUGAUGAAGAACAAAAAUCCUUAGAGGAAGACAGCAGACUGAGGAAACCUUGCUACUGUGGUUCCCGCACAUGUGCUUCCUUCUUACCUUGGGACAGCUCCCUCUUUUCCACACCAAAUGCUUGUUCAGGUAGCUCUCCAUAGAUUUUCAGGCUGUAAGCAUACUUAACAAGUAUGAUUUUCUCUAGCGGUUAAAUUGCAGUUAACUAAAACUGUGUAUUCCACCAAGAAAGCACUUGGUUUUGAGCAAUAACUGAAAGUCAAGAUACUGAGAAUAACUUCAUGCAACAUCUAGAGACUGUUUCUGAGCUUGCUGUAUGUUAGAGCAGCUCUCUUGGUUUGUGCCUUUCAGAAGGAAUGAACUUGAGCUCUGGUACACUGAAAGGAUAUGUGGUAACAAGAAGAAACCUUGCUGAAAACUACAGAAGAGAGUGCGAUGAGGCACUGGAAUGGGUUGCCCAGGGAAGCUGUGAAUGCUCCAUCCCUGGCAGUGUUCAAGGCCAGGCUGGACAAAGCCUUGGGUGCCAUGGUUUAGUGUGAGGUGUCCCUGCCCAUGGCAGGGGGUUGGAACUGGAUGAUCUUGAGGUCCUUUCCAAACCUGGCUAUUCGAUGAUUGAAGAAUCGUGACAUUUAACAGAAAGGCAGGAGGUUUCUUAAGUCCUAUGCAAACAAAUUACUUUCUUUAGCUUAUUUGCUAUAAAUUGUUUGUUCUGUAUAUCAUAAAUAACUGAUUACUGAUGUAAAAAAUUUUGUCCAGAAAGAUUAGCUUGAAUACUAACCCCCUUCCAGCCCCCCAGUCCUUUUACAUCUCCAGUCACAUCCAGCUGCAUGCCAAAACCAGGUUUUGAUUGACUGGUUCAAGUUCAUUACCAUUUAGUUUGUGUGUAAAUCCUGCAGUUCUGCAGGCUCCAAGUACAGUCAGCCCAUCUUUUUUGGAUUACAUCUAUCCCAAAGCUCAUCUAGUAAGAUUUCUGCAAUAAUAGCAAGCAGUAUGUCCAUGUUACUUUCCAGCACUGUUAUUACACAGUCAGGAAGCAAAUUCAGACUCCAGUCUUAAGCAGUAUAAUGGUUAUCCUGACUUCUGAGAUGGAUUAAGCAGGAAAUAGAUAAAUACAUGUGAACAAAAUUGGUUUUUUACCUUGUUGAAUGGCUGGCAGUUACACAAGUGUUCCUUUCAGCUACUAACUGAUUUGUUUUCACAAUUCCUACAGAGCCACAGCAUUAAGCAAGGCUUGUGCCUCCCCAUCAGAGGGAGGUCACUGCAUCUUUUUUCAGUAGUAUUUGUGCUGGUCUAACAGGUAUGCUGCUUUACUGAGCAUCCCCUUAUGCCAGGGAUAUACAAGGGCACUUGCUGGAUAAGGUAUGUCCUGCAGCUGUAUGUUACUUCACUUCCUUUCUAGAAAGGUCAAAUUAAGGAAGCUUCAAACAGGGUUGUUUUGAAUUUCCCCCCCAGCUUUGACAGACAACCUGCAGUGCUCCUUUUUGCAGUCAUGCACAGUGUGCCAUCAGUGGCACAAAUCCCUGGGGGUUAUUUGCUCUGCACAGUUUGAUCUUUUAACCGUACCCAUGACCUUUGACAGGAUUUCAGCUGCCUGUCAAAAGUAGUUUACUAAUAAUGGCUGAGCAGCCAUUAUCUUUAUUCCUUGCCUGGUUAAGGUGCCUGCUUCUACAGAGCCAUUCUCCAGAUCCCAGUACUUGGAAUACAUGCUGCUUGGAUUGCAGGGUUUCUUGUUCUUUGCGGAGGCUUAUCUGGUUUUCUUCUCCUAAAGGGCACUAUGCCAGCCACUUUC